UCCUUGGUAGUUCAAUGGUAGAACGUCCGGCUGUUAACCGGAAAGUUCCAGGUCCGAGUCCUGGCCAAGGAGCCU
rnacentral:tRNA from 3 species